rnacentral:rRNA from 1 species
AUGUUGUUUAACACUUGGUUGAAUCUGAUACCACACACAAACAUGUUUGGAGCUUCACAUAUGAGCAAUUUUUCUGUCGAAAUUUCUGGUCUGGCCUAUCGUUUCUUUCUGGGUGUUGUUGCAACUUUGUGUGGAACAUCCAAACAUUUUAAGAGCAAGGCAAACAUGUGUGGAACUUCACAUAUGAGCAAUUUUUCUAUCGAGAUAUCUCGUCUGGCCUUUUGUUUUCUUUCUGGGUGUUGUUGCAAUGUGGAAUAUCCAAACGGGAAAAUUUACGAGCAAGGCAAACAUAGGUGGAGCUUCACAUAUGAGCAAACACAUGUGUACAAACCAGCGUUCUAG